rnacentral:rRNA from 1 species
UACGUAGGGUGCAAGAGUUAAUCGGAAUUACUGGGCGUAAAGCGUACGCAGGCGGCUUUGCAUGACAGGUGUGAAAUCCCCGGGCCUAACCUGGGAACUGCAUUUGUGACUGCAUGGCUAGAGUCUGUCAGAGGGGGGUGGAAUUCCACGUGUAGCAGUGAAAUGCGUAGAGAUGUGGAAGAACACCGAUGGCGAAGGCAGCCCCCUGGGAUGAGACUGACGCUCAUGUACGAAAGCGUGGGGAGCAAACAGG